AUGGAGAUCGCCGCGGCCAGCCGUAGGCUAGUCAAAGGUAUCCAUGUCGUGGAAAUGGAUAUCCGUCGGCGCUGGCCGUACAGAUACAUCACGAGCCAAAAAAUAAGCUUUGUUUUUUCCUCCUCUGUUCCGGCGGGGGGAGGCGGCGAUGGCCGCGUGGGACGCGGUGGCCGGUGGGCGGCGCUCUACGACCAGUCCGCGCUCGACGCCGUCGCCUUCUUCGACGUGAGCGCCAACGCCGAGCGCCAACGCCGGGGUCCUCUCCGCUACGGCCAUGUCGUCACCGCCGUCGAGAACUUCCCCGACCACCGCGGCACCGUCAACGGCAUUGUGAAGACAUGGCAUACUCCAUAUGGCAUUAAACCAUCUAUACAUGGUUUUCUGGGCUUGAGUGCAGCAACACCGGUUCAGGUACAGUGCACUCUCCAUAUUGAUCCUGGCAGUUUCAUACUUAUGCUAGAGAUAUUACCCACAGCCAUCGCAUUGCUUCUCACGUAUUUUGUCGAUGUCCACAGCGCUCAUCAGCGGUACAACAAGAAGUUCCUUGAUGCCUUCUCUCUCAUGGCCUUUACUGUUGCUGGGUACCUGAAAGUUGUCAUAAUCUGCAACCAAGACAUGUCGUCGCACAAAGAAAGCCUGAAUGCGGUGCAGGCCAUGUGUAAAUUCGACUUCUGGCUGCUCUUCCUUGCGAUGGCCUGCGGGAUGGGAUCGGGGCUAACCACGGUGAACUACGUCAGCCAGAUAAGGGGCUCCCUUUGGCUAGACGAGCAGGGAGACCAUCACCCUGGUGUCGCUCUGGAGCAUCUGGAACUUCUCUGGGAGGUUCGGUGCAGGCUGCGUCUCCAAUCACUUCCUCUAGUCGUGAGGAGUAGGCAGGCCUUUUUCAUAGCAGCGACGCUUCUGGUCAUGGGUGUAGGACACACCAUCAUCUCCUCCGGUUUCCGCGCGUCGGUCUACAUCGGCUCCGGUUUCCAGAGGCACUUCUGUGACAAGGAGUCACCACAAGGUGAGUUUGCCUGCGCCGCUUCCUCCGGUGUUGCGCCCUUCCCGUCGUCUUUCUCCUUUUCUUUCUUCCCCUCUUUCUCCUCGGCUUUCUCCGCUUCUGCCUCCUCUUCCCCAUUCGCCUUCGUCUUUGCCGCUGCCACGUCUUUCUUAGCCUCCUCGAGCGGCUAA
rnacentral:rRNA from 1 species